UCCAUUCUUUAAUUUUAAAUAAUACCUAACGGUUGUGUAUGCAAAUUUUGGAAUUCUAUGGUAAUAGCAGUGGACCUUGUGAUUCCACAGAGACAAGAACAGCUGCCACAGACCAUGGGAGUUUUCUGUGUGGAUAUGAGAGGAUGACGAGGGAAUGUGAUCAAGAGCUGAGACCAUGAGAUAUACAGAAACCUGGAAGGUGUUCACUCAGAUGCUGUGCUGGGAUGUCAGAAGACUGCUGUAGUUCCAGUUGCAGAAAUCCCUUUCAACAAACCGACCUGAUUUCAAGAUCACACAAGUGACUAGGUGAUGCCAUUGAGGGAAGUUAACACCCACCAGUAUUUAAGAUAGAAGGAUUUUAUUUUAUUUUUGAUGUAUAUAUUUUAUUAUUUCAUUCUGUCUUAAAAAUAAAACAUGAAUGCCAGGUCCCACCCUUCCUUCCAUACCUCAUGCUGGUGCCCAUAUCAAGAUUUUAUUUUAAUUUUAUUUUCUGAUGUAAGUAUUUUGUUUCAUUCUGUCUCAAUAAAGCAGAUGAAUGCCAGGUCCCCCCCCUUCCUCCCAUCCCUGAUGCUAGUGCCCAUAUCAAGAUUUUAUUUUAAUUCUAGUUUUUGAUUUAAAUGUUUUACAAUUUCAUUCUAAAAAAUAAAGCAGAUGAAUGCCAGGUCCCCCCCCCUUUCCUCCCAUUCCUGAUGCUGGUGCCCCAUAUCAAGAUUUUAUUUUAGUUUUAGUUUUUGAUGUAAAUAUUUUGCAAUUUCAUUCUGUCUUAAAAAUAAAACAGAUGAAUGCCAGGUCCCCCCCCUUCUCCUAUCCCUCAUGCUGGUGCCCAUAUCAAGAUUUUAUUUUAGUUUUAGUUUUUGAUGUAAAUGUUUUACAAUUUCGUUCUGUCUUAGAAAUAAAACAGAUGAAUGCCAGGUCACCCCCCCCUUCCUCCCAUCCCUGAUGCUAGUGCCCAUAUCAAGAUUUUAUUUUAGUUUUUGAUGUAAAUGUUAUAUUUUAGCGUCCUGUUGCACUGAUUUAUGUCCAUGAUUUAU